GCUCUCCCAGCUCGAAGACACCCUCUCUGGAGCCUGCGUUUCCUCCCCUCCUUCCAUCCUCAUCUCUCCCUCUCCGUCUCUCCCAAGCUGAAGACGCCACUGCAGAAAAACACUCAGAGGAUUUGGAUGAUUUCUGUUACUGAGACUAUGUGGGUGCUCAUGGGUGUAGGGGACCAGUGUCCAAUAUCAAAGCCCUGUUUUUGUUGUUUUUUUUAACUUAUCCGCAGUAAUAAUCACCUAGUCAGUAAGUUUUCCCUGUAGUUGCUACCCCACCACCAACUCUAAACUUGCCUUGCAUAAACCUCCCUUUCCUGGAUGGGUGUCUCUAUGUUCAUUCAGUCCCAGGCCUUGCCCUCCACCCCCAUCCAGGGGAUUAAUUCAUUCACAACACCUGCCUCGGUCUCUUCUGAGUGCCCCAUUUGGGAGGGGCGGGUUGAGAAGGAAGAGAGGGUGCCCUUUUGGAAGUCAAGUUGCACAUGAUGCCUGACCCAGCUGAAACACAAAUGCUUUAUCUAUUCACCCAACCAUGCUUCUACUGCACCCAACAGCAGUCACCUGACUUAUUAACUGCAGUCACCUUUGCCAACAUUUCAAACAGUAUUCACAUUAGGCAGAAAAAUGCGGGUAGCUUCCCUCCUGAAGGCGGACACUAGCCCAAAGCCACCCUCCCAAACAGGCACCUGACCCUUUUCUGCCAGGGCAAUAUCCAUAAAGUGCAGUGCUGAAAUGUAGACACACCUCUAUUAACCUUACAGUCAGGUCUUUUCUUGAGUUAUCUUCACUGCCCUCCCCCCCUCCCCUUAUUUUUAUUCCAUUUAGGGAGCUAAUGCUCUGGUACAAUUCAGUCCCCUUAUGCCAUAGAGGGGGGCAUAAGGCAACAACUUUCCUCACAGGUGAGUAACUCUGGAAAACAGAGCCAGCCUAUGCCACUCCCUUUACAGGCCCCCAUGUAGGGGGUGUGCUGGGGGUAGGAGGGAGCAUGGCUGGAAUAUGCUGCCCUCCAGCAGCUGAAAAUAGCUAAGUAGGCCCUAGGCCACCACUGCAGCUGAGUGUAAAUUUGAAAAGCCUUGAGUCUCCUCUAAUUUACAGCAGGAGACAGAUAGGCAGGCCCCUGGAUGUAUAAAGAAUAUAAACUGUAGAUGGCUUAGUCACUUUUGCACGCCUGCUCCUUAUCUCUAUAUGGCAUAUCUUGGUUAGAGUGGAGACUCAGGCCCAAAGCCUUAUUGUCUGUCAUUAUUUUCCUCUGAUUCCAUUCACCCACCCAAUCUCCUUUUCCUCCAUCUCUUUCCCCACUUUUCUCCACCCCACUUCCUACCCAUGUCUUUCCUCCUACAGCAUGCACCAGGGAAGGUCUUUAGUCUUAGCAUGAGUUCUUCUGUCAGCAUUGGUCUGUUUGUUACCCAGACUUCAGGACUUGGCCCACCCACAAGAAUUAAGUCAUCAUGGGAGGAAGGGCAAAUGGUUAACCCCUAACCCAGCCCAGCUGCUCCCUGGGAAUUGAUCAGGAGACAAACACCCCCUUGCCCAUCUCUCUCUUCAGGCUGUUUAGAAUAAUGGGUGUUAUGAUCAACAGAGACCUUUCUUUAAUCAAAUCUAUUGAAGCCACUGUGCUUGUACAGGUGUAACCCAGAGCAGAUCAACUCUCCAAAUGCACUGAAUCAAUACCCCUGCUAUUGUUUGCUGGGGGAGAUUUUCAGCGACAAGAUUUAAGGCGGUGGCCUUGUGAAAAUGACUGCCGUUAUGGGUAGUUCUUCCCUAGGGCUUCAACUCAGCAAGGUAUUGAAGCACAUAACUAAUUGUAAGCACAUGAACAGUCCCGUGGAAGUACCUGAAGAAGACCUCUGUAUAAGCUCAUCUCUCUCACCAACAGAAGCUGGUCCAAUAAAAGCUAUUACUUCA